rnacentral:rRNA from 1 species
CACGUAGGGGGCAAGCGUUGUCCGGAUUUAUUGGGCGUAAAGAGCGUGUAGGCGGCCAGACAGGUCAGCUGUGAAAACUCGAGGCUCAACCUCGAGACGCCGAUGGAAACCCUCCAGCUAGAGUCCGGAAGAGGAGAGUGGAAUUCCUGGUGUAGCGGUGAAAUGCGCAGAUAUCAGGAGGAACACCGGUGGCGAAGGCGGGUCUCUGGGCCGAAACUGACGCUGAGGAGCGAAAGCGUGGGGAGCGAACAGG